rnacentral:rRNA from 1 species
AUUGAACGCUGGCGGCAUGCCUUACACAUGCAAGUCGAACGGCAGCGGGGGAGAAGCUUGCUUUUCCUGCCGGCGAGUGGCGAACGGGUGAGUAAUACAUCGGAACGUGCCCUGUAGUGGGGGAUAACUAGUCGAAAGAUUAGCUAAUACCGCAUACGACCUGAGGGUGAAAGGGGGGGACCGCAAGGCCUCAUGCUAUAGGAGCGGCCGAUGUCUGAUUAGCUAGUUGGUGGGGUAAAGGCCUACCAAGGCGACGAUCAGUAGCUGGUCUGAGAGGACGAUCAGCCACACUGGGACUGAGACACGGCCCAGACUCCUACGGGAGGCAGCAGUGGGGAAUUUUGGACAAUGGGCGAAAGCCUGAUCCAGCAAUGCCGCGUGUGUGAAGAAGGCCUUCGGGUUGUAAAGCACUUUUGUCCGGAAAGAAAUGGCUCUGGUUAAUACCUGGGGUCGAUGACGGUACCGGAAGAAUAAGGACCGGCUAACUACGUGCCAGCCGCCGCAGUAAAAC